rnacentral:rRNA from 1 species
UACGGAGGGUGCAAGCGUUAUCCGGAUUCACUGGGUUUAAAGGGUGCGUAGGUGGGCAGGUAAGUCAGUGGUGAAAUCUCCGGGCUCAACCCGGAAACUGCCAUUGAUACUAUCAGUCUUGAAUAUCGUGGAGGUAAGCGGAAUAUGUCAUGUAGCGGUGAAAUGCUUAGAUAUGACAUAGAACACCAAUUGCGAAGGCAGCUGGCUACACGAAUAUUGACACUGAGGCACGAAAGCGUGGGGAUCAAACAGG